GGGGAAUAUUGGGCAAUGGACGCAAGUCUGACCCAGCAACGCCGCGUGAAGGAAGAAGGCUUUCGGGUUGUAAACUUCUUUUAAGGGGGAAGAGUAGAAGACGGUACCCCUUGAAUAAGCCACGGCUAACUACGUGCCAGCAGCCGCGGUAAUACGUAGGUGGCAAGCGUUGUCCGGAUUUACUGGGUGUAAAGGGCGUGUAGCCGGGAAGGCAAGUCAGAUGUGAAAUCUGGAGGCUCAACCUCCAAACUGCAUUUGAAACUGCAGGGCUUGAGUGCAGGAGAGGAGAGUGGAAUUCCUAGUGUAGCGGUGAAAUGCGUAGAUAUUAGGAGGAACACCAGUGGCGAAGGCGACUCUCUGGACUGUAACUGACGCUGAGGCACGAAAGCGUGGGGAGCAAACA
rnacentral:rRNA from 1 species